rnacentral:rRNA from 1 species
UACAGAGGGUGCGAGCGUUGUCCGGAAUCACUGGGCGUAAAGGGCGCGUAGGUGGCGCUGCAAGUCGGUGGUGAAAGCUCGUCGCUUAACGGCGAGUCGGCCUCGAAACUGCAGGGCUCGAGCAACUGUAGGGGCUAAUGGAAUUCCGGGUGUAGCGGUGGAAUGCGUAGAGAUCCGGAAGAACACCAGUGGCGAAGGCGGUUAGCUGGGCAGUUGCUGACACUGAUGCGCGACAGCGUGGGGAGCAAAACGG